AUUGAACGCUGGCGGAAUGCCUUACACAUGCAAGUCGGACGGCAGCGGGCCCCUCGGGGUGCCGGCGAGUGGCGAACGGGUGAGUAAUACAUCGGAACGUACCCUCUGGUGGGGAUAACCCGUCAAAAGACGGGCUAAUACCGCAUGAGCUCUGAGGAGGAAAGCAGGGGACCGCGAGGCCUUGCGCCAGAGGAGCGGCCGAUGUCCGAUUAGCUAGUUGGUGGGGUAAAGGCCUACCAAGGCGACGAUCGGUAGCGGGUCUGAGAGGACGGCCCGCCACACUGGGACUGAGACACGGCCCACACUCCUACGGGAGGCGGCAGUGGGGAUUUUUGGACAACGGGGGCAACCCUGAUCCAGCCAUUCCGCGUGAGUGAAGAAGGCCUUCGGGUUGUAAUGCUCUUUCGGCAAGAACGAAACGGUGGGCUCUAACAGAGUCUGCUAAUGACGGUACCUGAAAAAAAAGCACCGGCUAACUACGUGCCAGCAGCCGCGGUAAUACGUAGGGUGCGAGCGUUAAUCGGAAUUACUGGGCGUAAAGCGUGCGCAGG
rnacentral:rRNA from 1 species